UACGAAGGGUGCAAACGUUGCUCGGAAUUACUGGGCGUAAAGCGUGCGCAGGCGGUUUUGUAAGCCGGAUGUGAAAUCCCCGGGCUUAACCUGGGAAUGGCAUUCGGGACUGCAAGGCUGGAGUGCGGCAGAGGAGACUGGAAUUCCUGGUGUAGCAGUGAAAUGCGUAGAUAUCAGGAGGAACACCGAUGGCGAAGGCAGGUCUCUGGGCUGACACUGACGCUCAUGCACGAAAGCGUGGGGAGCAAACAGG
rnacentral:rRNA from 1 species